rnacentral:rRNA from 1 species
AGACGUCUACAUUAGAACCCGGGUAGUCCCAGCCGUAAACUAUGCUCGCUAGGUGUCAGGCAUGGCGCGACCGUGUCUGGUGCCGCAGGGAAGCCGUGAAGCGAGCCACCUGGGAAGUACGGCCGCAAGGCUGAAACUUAAAGGAAUUGGCGGGGGAGCACAACAACGGGUGGAGCCUGCGGUUUAAUUGGACUCAACGCCGGACAACUCACCGGGGACGACAGCAAUAUGUAGGCCAGGCUGAAGACCUUGCCUGAAUCGCUG